ensembl:snRNA U6 U6 spliceosomal RNA
GUGCUGCUUUGGCAACAUAUAUACUAAAAUUGGAACAAUUCCGAGAAUAUUAGCAUAGCCGUGUGAAAGAAUGACAUGCAAAUUUGUGAAGCAUUAUAUAUACAU